GAUGAACGCUAGCGGCAGGCUUAAUACAUGCAAGUCGAGGGCAACGAGGGUAGCGAUACCUGCUGGCGACCGGCAAACGGGUGCGCAACACGUACAGAACCCUUCCUUUAAAGCGGGGGAUAGCCCAGAGAAAUUUGGAUUAAUACCCCAUAGUAUAAUUGUCUGGCAUCAGAUGGUUAUUAAAGAUUUAUCACUUAGAGAUGGCUGUGCGUCUGAUUAGGAGUUGGUUGGGGUAAUGGCCCACCAAGCCUUCGAUCAGUAACUGGUGUGAGAGCACGACCAGUCACACGGGCACUGAGACACGGGCCCG
rnacentral:rRNA from 1 species